AAUUGAAAUUCCAAUAAUUUUUCAAUAACAAACAAACAAAUAAAUCGCAUCAUCAUUGUAUUGUAUUCUGCCGAGAAAUUCUUCUAUAAAAAACAAAAAUCUCUCCUGGGAACUCUUUAGGUUCUUCUUUUUUUUUUGUUGUUGUUGGCAAAUAUAUAUUCGAUUCGAUAUAUGUAUAUAUAAAUCCAUAGAUGGAUGAAUGGUCAUGAUGAUGAUGAUGAUGAUGAUGGUAAUAACUAUGCAUUCACCAUGCAUAACGAUCACAUAGAAUAAUAUUCGAAAACAGAUUGGCCAGAAAAAAAAAAAUAUUUUUUCUAGUAAAAAUGACAAAUUGUUUUUCAAUAUUGUAUGUAUAUCGAUAUGGUAAUGUUUACUAUUCCCGAUCUGGAUAAAAUUCAAACAACUGGAUAGAGG